rnacentral:lncRNA from 1 species
GCCCCCUCAGCCUUCUCCUGUUAUCUGCUUUAUGCUCCUUUGGAUCUCUCCGCCAGGAGUCUGGGGCGGAUUAACACAAGAUAGGAACUAGAUCCAAUCUAAUCAAGGGGACCUAAUCAACCCAUCCUUCCUCCCCCACUCCUCCUUCUCAGAACAAACCCACGUCCUGCCUCUACACAACUUUUCAUGGGAUUUGGCAUCUGAUAAUUAAUAAUUCUUUCUGACUUUGCAGGAGCAGUGUCAACCUCUGACCUACUUCACAGAAAGAGGUAAAGCUCUGCACUAAGCAACUCAGGAGACCUAAAAGAAGAGGACACCUGAUCAGGGACCAUCAUCUCCACCAGAUGGGCCAUUAAGAUUAGUGAGACAAGUUGUAGAUACUAUCCCCAUUCAGGGUGAGUAUGUGUGGGUGAAGGACCAUCUUGUGUAGACCGAGUUAAAAUUUUACCUGCUGGUAAGGCUUCAAACCUGAUUAUGAGGCAGAACGUUUGAAAAACCUUUAUCGUGCCUUUUACAGAAGUAAAACCAUGAGAAUUCGGAUUCCUCUGAUUAGCAAACAGCUGAUUCACAAAUAAGUGCUGGAGCGACUCAGUCUUCCCAUACAGGUGCAGCAGACAGAAAAACUGAAGCUUCAGGUUGACAGAGAUUUUGUUUCUGCUUUUUCACCCUUACAUUUUGACUCUGCCUCUUAAGAAGAGACUGUUUCUGUAGAUUACAAAUUAACUUUGAUUGAGAACAGCAAGGAAAUCCAUCCAGCCUGAAGCAAGAAGAGCCUUCAGAAAUUGAAUAUUAAGAUUAAAAGGAGCUCUUGCCUCUUUCUGAUGGAAGAACUGAACACUCCCAGACCUCUCAGUGACCUUUUAGGGGAUGCUUUGGGGACUCUAAAAUCUUAGAAGAAGCAAAGGCUCAAGACCAUGAACAUUAUUAACAUGAGAUGCUGAGAAGGUCUUUGAUCGAGUGGAGUGGAAUUAUUUGAUAACAGCCUUCAUACAAUACUGAAAUGGAAUAACUUUUCAAGAGAGAGACACAUGCACGUCCUUGCACAAGAAAAGAGAUUCUUCACCUUCUGCCAUCGUAUUGUCACAGCAGCUCAUGUUUAUUGUGAAUGACAUCUUCAGCUACAACUCAGCAUGAGCUCCAGCAUGCUGGAGCUGAACAUCCUACCAGGAAAAUCAGCGGCGACAUUAAAAUUGUUUCAUGAAUAAUGAAAAAAUAAAUAUCACAUUAACUGCA